rnacentral:rRNA from 1 species
UACAGAGGGUGCGAGCGUUGUUCGGAAUUACUGGGCGUAAAGCGCGCGCAGGCGGCCCUUUAAGUCCGUCGGUCAAAUGCCGGGGCUCAACCCCGAUGCAUGCCGAGGAUACUGGAGGGCUGGAGACACGUAGAGGCAAGCGGAAUUCCGGGUGUAGCGGUGGAAUGCGUAGAGAUCAGGAAGAACACCGGUGGCGAAAGCGCUCUGCUAGGCCGCAACUGACACUGAGGGACGAAGGCUAGGGGAGCGAAUGGG